rnacentral:rRNA from 1 species
CAGCAGCCGCGGUAAUACGAAGGGUGCAAGCGUUAAUCGGAAUUACUGGGCGUAAAGCGUGCGUAGGCGGUGAGUUAAGUCUGCUGUGAAAUCCCCGGGCUCAACCUGGGAAUGGCAGUGGAUACUGGCUCGCUAGAGUGUGUCAGAGGAUGGUGGAAUUCCCGGUGUAGCGGUGAAAUGCGUAGAGAUCGGGAGGAACAUCAGCGGCGAAGGCGGCCAUCUGGGACAACACUGACGCUGAGGCACGAAAGCGUGGGGAGCAAACAGGAUUAGAUACCCGCGUAGUCCCUGUCUCUUAUAA